ensembl:lincRNA
AUCAAAAUGUACUGUGAGACAGAGCUCCUGCUCCAAUCUGAUGAAUGGAAAGCCAAGCAACAUCCAGGAAGACUUUUUAAAAGAAUGGAUGAAAUUAAGAACCAGAGCAAAUGUAACAAAGGGCCGAUUUUCCUGAUGUGGGUUAUAACUUCGUUCCAAUCUGAAAUUUUACCCACCCCUCCUCCCCGCUCAAAGAAGGAACCUGUGUUUCUGAGCUCGAGGCGCAGGCAGCAACCUUCGGCCACUUGUCAUUACAAAGGCAAAGAUAUAAAAAUGAGACUCUGGUGGAUGUGGCUUCGAGCAGGACAAAGGCCUUUGAAAGCAGAGAAGAUGAGGAAAAUCACAGAUAACAUUUUUGUCACCCUGCUUUGAACCCUCAAUCCAAAAGCACUUGUAAACACUCUCUCUGCGUACCCUUCAUCCUGGGGGAGCGAGACAGAGUUUCUGAUGACCCUGGCUUCCAGAUUGGCUCCAGGUUGACUGUUGGUCAAGACCGCAGUGGAAAUUAGAAGACUGCCUGCUGAUCCUUCUCUUGUUCUCAGAGCAUCUGCACUUUGGCUGUCUGUUCAACCAAUAUCUAUCAAGUACCUACUGUGUACCAGAUCCUAUUCUAGCACAGCAGUCCCAGAGGCAUCGUUCUAAACCAUAGAUCUGAUCGUGUCAUGCUCUCCACCUAAUGCCUUCCAUGGCUCCCUGUUGCUCAAAGGAUCAAGUCCAGAAAAUUUAACAAGGCGAACAAAGUCAUUUAUUGUGUGGGAUCUUCAAUUUCAUCCAUUUCUUGCUCCCCAUUCAAACCCCCCUCUAAUCCAUGCUGUGGCAAUAUUAAAAGUCUUUCUGUGUUGUCAGCUCCCAGUCAGCAAUCACUGAAGCCUGCUUCUCCUUUCCCUUAGAGCAAUCUUAGCAACACCACCACCACCAUCCCCUUACCCGUUCAGUAGCUCCUGGCCCUUCUCAGACCCCAGCAGGAACGAUUUUCUCAGGAAGGCUUCAAAGGCCACCUGCCCGUAGCAUUCAGCAUCUGUGACAAUAUUGCCGGCUGUCAGACUCUUAUCUCUUCUCUUCUUCUCUGGUAACAGAUAAUCCUUCCUCCUCUGGGAAACCCAUUUCAUGGAGUUUGGCUGGGGAUGCCUGGGCUCUCUGCCCAAGGUGCAGGUGAUUCCGGCCUACGUUAUCCCAUAGCUCACCGUCACCCAGACCCCAUGGUCUCUGAGCACCAGGAGAGAAGGAAAUGACUGUUUGCUUCCCUGCCCUGGCCUCAGCACCCGGCCCAGGCGGAUUCACCACAGGUGGGUCGUCUACCAAUGUUUUUUGAAUCAAUAAAUUUUUGAAAUUGCUUUCAAAAUUAACCAGGCUAAAAAUAGCUGAGGUCUCUCCCGCUAAGACUCCUCAUUUUAUUUCAUCCAGGAUGAAAUUUCAACAAAGGGUGAUCUGGGUUCAAGUCCUAGCUUUGCUGCCUGGGAACUUGAUGGUCCUGGGCAAGUGGUUUAAAUUCUCCAAGGCUCAGAUGAAAUUAUAUAGGCACAGGGGCUGGGGAUUCAGCUCAGCGGCACAGCACCUGCCUGGCAAGCGCAAGGUCGUGAGUUCGAUUCCUGGUACUGGAAAAACAAACAAACAAAAAUACCAAAAAUAAAUAAAUAAAUAAAAAAUAAAAAGAAAUUAUAUAGGCAUAAUGCUUAGUGAGGGCCUGGCACACAGGGAGGAUCA